GAUGAACGCUGGCGGCGUGCCUAAUACAUGCAAGUCGAGCGAACAGACGAGGAGCUUGCUCCUCUGACGUUAGCGGCGGACGGGUGAGUAACACGUGGAUAACCUACCUAUAAGACUGGGAUAACUUCGGGAAACCGGAGCUAAUACCGGAUAAUAUAUUGAACCGCAUGGUUCAAUAGUGAAAGACGGUUUUGCUGUCACUUAUAGAUGGAUCCGCGCCGCAUUAGCUAGUUGGUAAGGUAACGGCUUACCAAGGCAACGAUGCGUAGCCGACCUGAGAGGGUGGUCGGCCACACUGGAGCUGGGACACGGUCCAGGCUCCUACGGGAAGCAGCAGUAGGGAAUCUUCCGCAAUGGGCGAAAGCCUGACGGAGCAACGCCGCGUGAGUGAUAAAGGUCUUCGGAUCGUAAAACUCUGUUAUUAGGGAAAAACAAAUGUGUAAGUAACUAUGUACGUCUUGACGGUACCUAAUCAGAAAGCCACGGCUAACUACGUG
rnacentral:rRNA from 1 species